GACGAACGCUGGCGGCGUGCUUAACACAUGCAAGUCGAACGGAAAGGCCCUGCUUUUGUGGGGUGCUCGAGUGGCGAACGGGUGAGUAACACAUGAGUAACCUGCCCUUGACUUUGGGAUAACUUCAGGAAACUGGGGCUAAUACCGGAUAGGAGCUCCUGCUGCAUGGUGGGGGUUGGAAAGUUUCGGCGGUUGGGGAUGGACUCGCGGCUUAUCGGCUUGUUGGUGGGGUAGUGGCUUACCAAGGCUUUGACGGGUAGCCGGCCUGAGAGGGUGACCGGCCACAUUGGGACUGAGAUACGGCCCAGACUCCUACGGGAGGCAGCAGUGGGGAAUAUUGCACAAUGGGCGGAAGCCUGAUGCAGCAACGCCGCGUGCGGGAUGACGGCCUUCGGGUUGUAAACCGCUUUCGCCUGUGACGAAGCGUGAGUGACGGUAAUGGGUAAAGAAGCACCGGCUAACUACGUGCCAGCAGCCGCGGUGAUACGUAGGGUGCGAGCGUUGUCCGGAUUUAUUGGGCGUAAAGGGCUCGUAGGUGGUUGAUCGCGUCGGAAGUGUAAUCUUGGGGCUUAACCCUGAGCGUGCUUUCGAUACGGGUUGACUUGAGGAAGGUAGGGGAGAAUGGAAUUCCUGGUGGAGCGGUGGAAUGCGCAGAUAUCAGGAGGAACACCAGUGGCGAAGGCGGUUCUCUGGGCCUUUCCUGACGCUGAGGAGCGAAAGCGUGGGGAGCGAACAGGCUUAGAUACCCUGGUAGUCCACGCUGUAAACGGUGGGUACUAGGUGUGGGGUCCAUUCCACGGGUUCCGUGCCGUAGCUAACGCUUUAAGUACCCCGCCUGGGGAGUACGGCCGCAAGGCUAAAACCCAAAGGAAUUGACGGGGCCCCGCACAAGCGGCGGAGCAUGCGGAUUAAUUCGAUGCAACGCGUAGAACCUUACCUGGGUUUGACAUGGAUCGGGAGUGCUCAGAGAUGGGUGUGCCUCUUUUGGGGUCGGUUCACAGGUGGUGCAUGGCUGUCGUCAGCUCGUGUCGUGAGAUGUUGGGUUAAGUCCCGCAACGAGCGCAACCCUUGUUCACUGUUGCCAGCACGUUAUGGUGGGGACUCAGUGGAGACCGCCGGGGUCAACUCGGAGGAAGGUGGGGAUGACGUCAAGUCAUCAUGCCCCUUAUGUCCAGGGCUUCACGCAUGCUACAAUGGCUGGUACAGAGAGUGGCGAGCCUGUGAGGGUGAGCGAAUCUCGGAAAGCCGGUCUCAGUUCGGAUUGGGGUCUGCAACUCGACCUCAUGAAGUCGGAGUCGCUAGUAAUCGCAGAUCAGCAACGCUGCGGUGAAUACGUUCCCGGGGCU
rnacentral:rRNA from 1 species